GCCUUUAUAGCGUAGUGGUUAAACGCUAUAAAGCCCUACCUUAGCCUAGCAGGGAGCUAGUUUAAACCUGGCUAAAGGCA
rnacentral:tRNA from 1 species